rnacentral:rRNA from 1 species
AUUGAACGCUGGCGGCAGGCCUAACACAUGCAAGUCGAACGAGUGGCGGACGGGUGAGUAAUGUCUGGGAAACUGCCCGAGGGAGGGGGAUCACUACUGGACACGGUAGCUAAUACCGCAUACCAUCGGAUGUGCCCAGAUGGGAUUAGCUAGGAGGUGGGGUAACGGCUCACAUAGGCGACGAUCCCUAGCUGGUCUGCGAGGAUGACCGGCCACACUGUAACUGAGACCCGGGCCAGACUCCUACGGGAGGAAGCAGUGGGGAAUAGUGCACAAUGGGCGCAAGCCUGAUGCAGCCAUGCCGCGUGUAUGAAGAAGGCCUUCGGGUUGUAAAGUACUUUCAGCUAGGAGGCGUUACUCGCAGAAGAAGCACCGGCUAACUCCGUGACAGAAGCCGCGGUAAUAC